UCUGCUCCUAGAUCAUACAAGUGUGGCAGUUAUGUCUCAUGUGCCUCAGUAGGUGGCAGAGAAGAGAGACGCUAUGUCAAAGCUCAGUGUUGUGGUCUGAGAACAUCUGAAUGAUGAAGAGUAUGACACA